GGCUGAAAUUCGCCUUCAUGAAGCCGGAAUUGCUAGUAAUGGCAGGUCAGCAUACUGCCGUGAAUACGUUCCCGGGCCUUGUACACACCGCCCGUCACACCAUGAGAGUUGGGAAUACCCGAAGCCUGUGAGCUAACUAAUAGAGGCAGCAGUCGAAGGUAGAAUCAAUGAUUGGGGUGAAGUCGUAACAAGGUAUC
rnacentral:rRNA from 1 species